GGUUUCAAAUUCAAGGAGCUCCGUUAAGUUCUGAUAUUUGAGUCUGGAAAGCACACAUUUACUUCCAGUGUGCUAUGUAUCUUAGUCAGACCUGGGUAUCUUUUUCUCAUCUCUGCCUAAUGUUUUGCCUGGCUAUAUAUUUCUGUUAGAGGAAGACUUUAGCAUUAUCUUUGGGGUUCAGAUUCUUUGCUAAAACGGAAUAUCAAAUCUACUAUUGGUGUCGAGUGUGCAAUUUAGAUUUGAAUGUAGCCACAUUAGACUCCAAGAAAAUAAAACCAUAUGAGAAAUGCCGUUCCCACUUAUGCAACUACUGCUCUGUUGAGCACAUGUUUAUGAAGUAAUACCAUAUAUAGCACAGUAAUAUUUGCUGUGUUGUCAUCUAUCUUUGUUUUCAGAACUAGGGUUUGCUGGUGGCAAGUCGAAGUCCUUGUAUGGAAAGGAAGGGCAUUUGGGUCUGACACUUAUCAAGUUCGCAAACAACCCAUCUGGCUUGAAGGAGGCUGAGCGCCUUGCCGAGUUUUUUGAGAGGCAAGAUCAUGGACGUGUAGGUUGGUCACGUGCACAGGCUACUCACAACUUAGACCCUGAUACGAACCCUAUGCUGGUUGAGACUGAUAGCAGGGGUGAGAAAAAGAGAAUACUUUAUGGGUGCCUUGCAAUUUCCUCUGAUCUGGAUGAAUUAGACUCGGAUUCAAGAAAAAGGGCUACUGUCAAGAGCAUAAAAGAAUUUGACCCAUCUGACUAGUCUCCUCAGAAAGGCCCACCACCCCGCCAGUUUGUUUAAUUUAGACUGAAACAUCUGUAUCUUCUGUCAUUUCUGAUUUCCUAGAUACAUGCUACUGAUGUGCUCUGGAUAUCUUAGUAUGGAUAUAAUACCUGCCCUUAGGAUGCUUAUGGUCAUUAUUAUUAUUCCUGGGAUUUAUUUUGUAUAAGUCUUUUCUGCCAGGCAUCCAUCGCUCACUGAUUGAAUGAUUAUCUGGAAGACUAAUUGUUCUUCCAAAAUUGGUAGUUAUUUAUUGCAUUAUCAACUGCCCGCAGUAUGAACUGUGAUAUUGAUCUUGCCUGUAGUGCAUUUGGUAGAUAAAUUCUCGGCACAAUUCAUGGUAAUCUGGAAGGCUCAUUAUUCUUCCAAAUUGAUGGUUAUCUAUGGCGCUUGAAUGUUGAAAGUGAGGACGGGAUACAUUUUUUGUUAGGGAUUAACCAGUCUAUAUAUCGUUGCAUUAGGUCAGUACUAUUAUAUUGCCUAUUUCUAGGGAACUGCCAUAAUCUUUGGAUGACCCUCAUGUUUGUAUUGGUCUUCACAUUCGGGUUCUGCUUCCAGCAAUCUGUUGCAUGGCACAAGAUGGUGGCAAAACCACUUGAAUGUCAUGUGGUGCUUCUUAGUACAUUUUUGUUCAAUUUGUGUUUGCAUUAGGGGCAGCUGUCAUUUUGGUUCCAUUACUUGAUAAUUAGGUUUUGAAAAAGAUAAGGCUCAGAGAUGAUAGUGGAGGAAUAAUAGUGUGCUUAUAAGUUAUAACACUUACUAGUAGUAAAUAAGUAUUCGAAUUUGAAUGUACUAUAUGGGAGACUUAGUUGAAGUACCACAUGCUAUAGUUACUUAUCAAAACGGUGUUAUGUCAAUUAAUAUUGCAGUCUAUAGAGCACCAUCAUAUAAAAUGAUAAAUAGCUGCACCAUUGUUUUUAAGGCGUCCUGCCUAGGUGAUAAGGUGCCUUGGCAGCGCCUUGCAAAUAUGCCUGCCUUAGGCGCUUAGAGCGGGUGGUGCUCGCCUUAGGUGGCCUUACUGCCUUAGAAACAAUGAGCUGGACUCUAGUGCAUCUUCACUCUUCUCUUUAUCAGGAUGCCAAAUAUGAUUUUAGCUUGUUUUUUGUUGGUGGGAGUGCAGAUAGUGUUGCUGUGUGUCCUUAGUGCUCCUUCUGCUGCCUUUUUGUUUUGUUUUGUUUUCGAAGCUAUGCUCCUUGUGCUGCCUGGAAUGUACUUAUGCGUAUUGAUUUCCCGGCGGCUGUGCUCGUGGCCGGCCAUCGAAGGUGAUUUAGCUGGGUGGACUUGGAAUGCUGCUGCCUGCUGCAUUAGUGCAGGUUGCUGAUCCACCCGAUGAUGUUUUGGCGUUGCAGUGAUAGCUGACAUGUCUCAGUUGUUCCUUUGUUGAGGUCGAAAUAAUCAGAGAGCAAGCCACACACUUAACUUGAGGGCCCACUUGGCGAUUGAGCGCAGCGAAACCACACAUGGAUCGGCGAUAUCUUCAGCUCUCCUGACAGCUACACAGCGGCGGCAGAGGCCCUGAGAGCUCUUGGCAUCCACCAGGACUAAGGCUUCAGAGAACUACUGGCAGUGACAUUUGCUUUCCGAUGUGUUGGCGGCAGAUUCUGGGGAAGAAACACCAACGGGGACCAAGUUCUAGCGACAUGGACCUAACAGAAACAGAUGAUUAAGUCUAGUGUGUAGUACUAUGUUGAUUAUUUCUGGUUGGUCGCUGGCAGCUGAGUAAAUGGUACGUACACUAUGCUGGCCGUCCCUUGUCGGUUCGAAAUGGAAAAGCGAACAACUUUUUACCGUGAUCUGGUACAGAAGUGUCCAAUGAGCUUUCGGCAGCAUUCAUUUCGGAUCUACCCAACCUAUGCUGGAGUAGUUUUUAUUAACCCAUUCUGUCGCCUUGUUCAUCCAGCAUUCCACUCACUUCCACUGCCGCUGCGUGUUCACUCCCUUGGCUUGCCCACUACAUUCUCCACCGAAAAGAAGAGCACAUCGAGCAGGAAGAUGGAUGCCCAGGGCGCGAUCGACUCGCUCCUGGGCCGCCUCACCACCGUCCUUGUCAGCGAGGCGCAGCUGCUGGGCGGCCUCCGCGGUGACGUUGAGUUCAUCAGCGACGAGAUGGAAAGCAUGAACGGCCUGCUCAUGCACCUUGCCGAGUCCCACAACCGCGACAACCAGGUCCGGGCGUGGAUGAAGCAAGUGGCUGGCCUCAGCCGCGACUGCGAGGGCAACGUCGAGCUGUACAUCCAGUACGUCGGAGGUGCUGGUCCCGGCGCCAGAAAGGGCGUCCUGGGCUCCUUGCUUCGGAUGCUUCGCUUUGUGCGGACCAUGUCCGCCCGCCACCGUAUCGCGACGCGGAUCCGGGAGCUCAAGGUCCGGGCCCGUGACGUUGGCGACAGGCGGGAGAGGUAUGGCGUCACUGUCCCGCCGGCACCAUCUCGCACCAUCCCCGAUGCUUCGGCUCCGCAGCCGGGCGGACCUGAGGAGGAGGAGGAUCUGCGAAGACGUGAGUUGCUCUGUGGUGAGGAGGACAUCAACAAGGUCAUUGAGUGUCUCCCCCAAGAGAACUUGAUCUGUAUUGAAGGAGAGGGUAGCGUGGGGAAGACAGAUAUCGCACGGAAGGUGUUCAAUCACCCUUCCGUGGUGACAAAUAUCCGCCACAGGGUUUGGGUCAACAAUGGAGGGCUGAACAGAGAAUAUCACGAGGUACGUAAGGAGAUACUAGAACAACUACAACACAAGAUGAAGAGCUUGAGGGAAAUUGGCAAGCACUCAAGAAUUUCUGAGUAUAUGUCAGAUGGAAACGUUCUAAUCGUUCUUGAUGGUGUCAAUGACCAACCAAAGGACUACAGUUCCCUAAGUUGUUCUGAACUCGAAGCAUUUACAUACAAUGCAGUACCUCUGAGUGUUCAUCUUUCCGCUGGAUUAUACAGUGACUUUCGUCGGAGAGAUGUUUAUGUAAUAAUGACCGGAAAUCACUUUUAUAAUGACCACAUACGCACAGGAUAUUAUGCCAAAAAGUUCCGGUGUGAAACUCGUCCGAAUUUUUUCAGAAACAGAGCAUUGGGCCUUGCCAAGUGUGAAGGUUCUGCUGUAUUGGCAGUUUUAACCAAGUGCUACCACGGCACCCUUGCAGCGCACCUGUUCCUUUGUCUACUGUAUGUCAAUCCUCGCAGGGCUACGGCGGAACUGGAAACCUUAUGCCGUGUCCUAGAGGAGAGCAGAAACAAUACUGAUAAGACGAUACUUAUGGUCUGCUACAACGAGCUCCCUGGUCAUCACAAGAGCUGCUUGAUGUGCCUAUCAAUCUUUCCUCAAGGACACAUAAUCAUGAAAGCUGAUCUGCUGAGGAGAUGGGUCUCUGAAGGACUGAUAACCAAAAGAAGCGUUGGGACGAGCACGCUGCAUGAUCAGGCCGAGCGCAUCUCUGACUCACUGGUCACUCGAGGCUUUAUAUGUCCUGGAGAAAUCAGCUCUGCAGGCAAGAUUAAGAGCUUUACAUUGAAUUCCAUUGUUCAUGAUUUCAUCGUUACAGAUGUAGGCUUCGUGGAUACAUCAUCACGGCCUGAGCUAGCUCACCGCUUCUCCAUCAACAGUGGGGUAGCAAUACAGGAAGAAUCUCUUUCUGAGUCUGAUUCCGAUCCAUCCGGCCAUGGCAUCUUAACUACAAUUGAGUCUCUGGCCGAAUCUGGUCAAUGGCAGUUUCUGAAGGUGCUGGAUCUUCGAGGCUGCAAAGGGUUGAAGAAGAAGCAUCUAAACAGUAUUUGCAAGAUACUGCUGCUCAAGUAUUUGAGCCUCAGGAAUACAGAUGUCGCUGAACUGCCGAAGGACAUUGAGAAGUUGCAGUGCCUGCAGACAUUGGAUAUCCGGCAGACGGCGGUACGGGUACUUGCCACAAAAUCUGUUGUGCUUCCAAUGCUAAAGCAUCUGCUUGCUGGGAAGAGAGACUCUCCGACUCCAAGCAACGACUCUGAUACUGAUAGGUUCGAAGAGUCGUUUGCGGUGGUGCGCCUUCCCAGGAGCAUCCGAAGAAUGGAAAAACUUGAGGUGCUCUCCCAUGUUGAAGUUGCCCAUAGUGACGAUCUGACUGACGUCGGCAAGCUGCUACGUCUUAGAAAGCUUGGGGUGAUUCUCCAGGGUAAGAAAGAAGAACUGGAACUUCUGUUCCAGCAGGUUGAAAAAUUGUAUGGUUGCCUCCGCUCCCUGUCAAUCCAGAUGGACCAGCAGACGAAAAGCGAGAGUGGUAAGAUCGGCCUCACCUUGGAUUGCUCAGACAAGGGGCCUCCCAUUGAUUCCCACUAGAGAAACUACAGCAGCACAUGUUGUUUGAAACAAGUUAACGCGAGACAAUCUGCACAAAAGGAACAGGGUGGCACACACAGCUCGAGCUGAGCUCUGGGUGUGAAACUGUUUUCUGGGUGUCCAAUGCCGCUGGCCACGGCGUCAACGGCGGAGAUGGAUCGAGUUUGAGUUUCCGACGGCACGGCCGCGACGGCGCCGGCGGCUGAAGCAGAGAAUAGGAGGACUCGUGGCUUCAGCGGUUGACCGGCCUAUGCUGAGUUCUUUUUCUUUUAUGUUUUUUUUCGCGGUUGACCGGCUGUUCCCGGGCCGCAUCAACGAGAAGGCUUUCGUCGAGGUGAGAAAUGGGAGCGAUGUCCAGAAGCCCAGCUCAGGCCAGAAAAAUAUAAAUGGGCCACACUAUUUAUUCUACUAAAAAAAAUACUAUGGCCCAUUUAUAUCAGGUAUGAUAAAAAAACCAUCUUUGAUGAGCACUCCUUCGGGAGCCUUGCAACGAUCAACGCCUCUUGGCGCGCUCUCAGCCGUCCACCACGUGUCGCGCUCUAGAUGCUCUCUUUGGAUUUUAUUUUUUUUAUUUUUCCGCACGCGUUUUUGGCUUUUUAAAUAUUUUUUUUGGUUUUCCACCGGUCUUCCUUAGUUUUUGGAUUUUUUUUUCAAAAAACAAAAAAUUUUGCACGAAAAAAUGCGUUUUUUCUUUCUUUCGCGAGAGUCACGGUUUUGCUUUCUCGAGGGUCAUGGACGUGCCUUUCAGAAACAAAAAAAACUUUUCUAUUUUUUUUCAUUCCGCAAGAGGCACGGCCGUGCCUCUCGAAAACGAAAAAAAAA
rnacentral:lncRNA from 1 species